AUACAGCUGACGAGUCCCGACUUGGACGAAACGUGCGUCUUGGAU
rfam:Schistosoma haematobium scaffold322_17, whole genome shotgun sequence.